CUUCCAUGGUCAGCUGGCUCUAAGGGAAAAACGUCAUGACCGCAGAGCCUGGCAAAGCAGACACUUAGUUCGUGGAGGCCAGGAGGUAGAGCAGGGGAACAGCGCCAGAGAGGAGGGGUCGGGGACCAGACACACAGACUCCAAGGCCGUGUCCCGAAAAGCCCGUACUGUGGGACACAUGGACUACAGAUGGGCCUCGUGGGCUAACGCGCAUCCUCCUCACGAGGUACCUCAGAAUGGGACCAUACUGGAGAUAGAAGCCUGUACUGUCAGCUUUCUCUUCGCUGAGACACAGCACCUGACACACAACUUACAAGAGGGAAGAGAGGUGCAGCCUGGAUUUGGGGCUAAGCUUUCGGCGGCAGCUGGAUUUGGCCAGCAAAAUGGAGAGCAAAGAAGCUUGGGACGGAGAGGCGCACUUAGUCACACUGGCUUGAAGGCUCCUCCUCCCCAUCUGGAUAUUUUCACCCCUUAACACUCCAAGUCCUGCCCCAAAGUGGCCUUGGAGCCAGCUGACAGCAAACUUGAGUCCCCUGCUCCCAAGUCUUCGCUUCUAUCUUUAAUGAACUCCCUCUGAGC